rnacentral:ncRNA from 1 species
UUUGUUAGCGCCAGACCUAAUAAAAGGUGACGAGGAUAACUAUUAUCGAAUUUUUCGGCGGAUGUAGUUACGGAUUAGUAUAGUCGUUAGAUAUAUUAAAAAAACAAAAUCAAAAUUGUAACAAAAGAUAU